GACGUAGGGCGCGAGCGUUGUCCGGAUUUAUUGGGCGUAAAGAGCUCGUAGGCGGCUUGUCGCGUCGUCCGUGAAAACCUGCGGCUCAACUGCAGGCUGGCGGUCGAUACGGGCAGGCUGGAGUUCGGUAGGGGAGACUGGAAUUCCUGGUGUAGCGGUGAAAUGCGCAGAUAUCAGGAGGAACACCGAUGGCGAAGGCAGGUCUCUGGGCCACUACUGACGCUGGAGAAGCGAAAGCCAUGGGGAGCGAACAGG
rnacentral:rRNA from 1 species